rnacentral:rRNA from 1 species
GUGAGGAAUAUUGGUCAAUGGGCGGGAGCCUGAACCAGCCAAGUCGCGUGAAGGAAGAAGGAUCUAUGGUUCGUAAACUUCUUUUGCAGGGGAAUAAAGUGCAGGACGUGUCCUGUUUUGUAUGUACCCUGAGAAUAAGGAUCGGCUAACUCCGUGCCAGCAGCCGCGGUAAUACGGAGGAUCCGAGCGUUAUCCGGAUUUAUUGGGUUUUAAGGGUGCGUAGGUGGUUUGAUAAGUCAGCGGUGAAAGUUUGCAGCUUAACUGUAAAAAUGCCGUUGAAACUGUCGGACUUGAGUGUAAAUGAGGUAGGCGGAAUGCGUGGUGUAGCGGUGAAAUGCAUAGAUAUCACGCAGAACUCCGAUUGCGAAGGCAGCUUACUAAGCUACAACUGACACUGAAGCACGAAAGCGUGGGGAUCAAACAGGAUUAGAAACCCUGGUAGUCC